UGGGGAAUAUUGCACAAUGGGCGCAAGCCUGAUGCAGCCAUGCCGCGUGUAUGAAGAAGGCCUUCGGGUUGUAAAGUACUUUCAGCGGGGAGGAAGGCGAUAAAGUUAAUAACCUUGUCGAUUGACGUUACCCGCAGAAGAAGCACCGGCUAACUCCGUGCCAGCAGCCGCGGUAAUACGGAGGGUGCAAGCGUUAAUCGGAAUUACUGGGCGUAAAGCGCACGCAUGCGGUCUUUCAAGUCGGAUGUGAAAUCCCCGGGCUCAACCUGGGAACUGCAUUCGAAACUGGCAGGCUAGAGUCUUGUAGAGGGGGGUAGAAUUCCAGGUGUAGCGGUGAAAUGCGUAGAGAUCUGGAGGAAUACCGGUGGCGAAGGCGGCCCCCUGGACAAAGACUGACGCUCAGGUGCGAAAGCGUGGGGAGCAAACA
rnacentral:rRNA from 1 species